UGCAGUCGAGGGGUAACAGAGAGAAGCUUGCUUCUUUGCUGACGACCGGCGCACGGGUGCGUAACGCGUAUACAAUCUACCUUUUGCUGAGGGAUAGCCCAGAGAAAUUUGGAUUAAUACCUCAUAGUAUAUAUGAAUCACAUGGUUUAUAUAUUAAAGGUUACGGCAGAAGAUGAGUAUGCGUUCUAUUAGCUAGAUGGUGUGGUAACGGCACACCAUGGCAACGGUAGGUAGGGGCCCUGAGAGGGGGAUCCCCCACACUGGUACUGAGACACGGACCAGACUCCUACGGGAGGCAGCAGUGAGGAAUAUUGGACAAUGGGCGAGAGCCUGAUCCAGCCAUGCCGCGUGCAGGAAGACUGCCCUAUGGGUUGUAAACUGCUUUUAUACAGGAAGAAACAGUCCCUCGUGAGGGAUCUUGACGGUACUGUAAGAAUAAGGACCGGCUAACUCCGUGCCAGCAGCCGCGGUAAUACG
rnacentral:rRNA from 1 species